UUCCCUACUAGUCUCUAAUGUCUCCUCCAAGAGGAUUGCAAUUAUUCUUAAAAGCAAAAACUAAGCAAUCUUUUAUUAUUAUUAUUAUUUUACCGAGAAAGAUUGGGUCCUCAACUACCGCCUAUCACAGCACACUGAAGGAGUUCGUAAGAAUUCCAGGUCAGGUUGGGGCACCUGCAAAGAGUAUUAAGGUCCAACACUGAGUAUGUCAGUGUAUCCUGAGGGCUUGUUUGCUGCUGGGUAUGUAUUUUCUGUAUUGACACAUUGGAGAUGUGUCUUCUGAAGCAAGAGGUGGGUCAGCUUCCGAGUGACAGUCUAAGUUUUGUGCCUGGUUUACUUCAAUCAUUGUUACUGUUUGAAUGAGAGUCCUCUAUUGACUAUCUAUAGUUCUAAACAAGGAAAACAAAUACUGUUUCUUCAGACGAGCUGCCAAUGUCUCUGUAAUUCCCACGGUUGUAGUGCUUUGAUUGGAGUUGGGUGCCAGAUGCAUGGAUUCCUCUGACAAACAGCUUUCUGGCAGGAGAGGAAGAUCUGGCUCCAGAAAGCCUGUUUGUGUAAAGCGUUGCCAUGUUACUGUCUAUCGUUACCUGCACUGAUUUGCUUUGAAGAAGCAGAGAAGCUAGACACCAGUUAAAUAAAUAAAAAUAGAGAUAGCGAACACUUUGCACACACCCAGACAAUCCCUUUCCUACCACUAAGUGACCCUGAAAGGGAAGCUUUAGACAUUUUUGAUCCGGCACCCCAGUAGUAAGGGGAAAAACUCAGUUCUACUGAUUUUGUUCUCACUCCGCCCAGUGAUGGAAGCCAAUUAUCAUUGCUGACAGAACACAAAAGUUUUCAGGAACAAGGAAAGGUCAGCAGAGAGUGGAGACACUCAACCAGGUGAUGAAGGAGUGGGUGGAAGUGAAGGCAGAGGGAGCCAACAUCUUUCAGGGGCAGGUUGAUUCUCCUCCUGCUUUGCUUCUUGUCCUCCCCCAGUCUCCAAGCAGCUGGCAAACAUUCUCCAUUUUGGUUGGCAAGAAAUCAGCAAGUGACCUGAUGUUAAGAUCUGGGAAAGCUGGGAUGGUUUGCUUGCUUGACCUUUAUCUUCCAGGAACUCAGUUUAUGCAUGAGUGCUCUGACUGCUAGCUGCUGGCCAGCCCCAGAGAGCCCCUGCUCUCGGCAGCCACAGGCCCCCAGGCCUGCCCCUGAGGGAGCAGCAGACCCUUUUUCUCUGCUCCAGACACCUCUCAUCUCAGUCCAUCCUGGGGAGAUAUCAUGGCUCCCGCCAGCUAUUCACACAUAGCACAACAUAUGUUUCUUUGCUACUGCAGCAAGAAGGAAUUCCUUCAGGCAGGGCUCUGAAGGCCCUUCCUCGCCAUUGCUCCUGGCACCUCUUCCUAGAUCCCACCACCCUACACAGAAAACAAAAGGACACUGAAACCACAACCACUUUGACCACCCACGGGGGAGACAGAAGUGCUCUGAGGGAAAUUCAAGAAGGAUCUUCGACCAGGCACCGCUGAAGCUAAGAUUUGUCAAGUCAUAACUUCAACGCUCUGCAGAGCGUUUGUUGUUUAAGACCGUAUACAGGAAAUCUGAGCAGUAAAUGUUCUCCAUCUUUGAUCAACGCGCCAGCGUGCUGCUGUGAAGUGAAACAGCGUAGGCUGGCAGAUGAGAGUUUUCCCCAGGGGCAUUCUGUAGGGAACACAACUGAGCUGACUUAACAAGGAAAUAAAUCUUCAAAUAUAUGAAUGCUGUUGUGUAAAUGCUUCUGCGGCACUCGGGGAAUAAACCAAAAUAAUU
ensembl:lncRNA